rnacentral:rRNA from 1 species
AGUGAACGCUGGCGGCGUGCCUAAUACAUGCAAGUCGAACGGAGUGGCGCACGGGUGAGUAAUAUAUAGCUAACCUGCCCCUUGCUGGAGGACACCAGUUAGAAAUGACUGCUAAUACUCCAUAGGAAGGGAUGAGACUAUAUCGUAUCAGCUAGUCGGUGGGGUAACGGCCUACCGAGGCUAUGACGCGUAACUGGUCUGAGAGGAAGAUCAGUCAGAGUGGAAGUGAGACACGGUCCAAACUCCUACGGGAGGGAGCAGUAGGGAAUAUUGCGCCAUGGGGGAAGCCCUGACGAAGCAACGCCGCGUGAAGGAUGACACGUUUCGGAGCGUAAACUCCUUUUGUUAAGGAAGCGGUACCUAACGAAUAAGCACCGGCUAACUCCGUGCCAGCAGCCGCGGUAAUAC